UCAUAAACAUUAAUUCUUAUCACAGUAUCAGUGCUCCAUCUAUAGGCCUAACAAAGGGGUGUUGAUAGACUUUUGAUUGGCUGAGCCACCAUCUAUUUGAAAACAAGCGACUUUGAUUGGCUGGAGACAGGAAGUUAUGUUUUGAAAACAAAGGGGGUUUUCAUCAACUGACUUUGAGCUUUAAGGUAUAAUUGAGUAACAUUAAGACUUAUAAUACUAGUUUAAAAUGUCUUGAAUAACUUUCAGCAUGAAGUAUUGUGUGGUGAAAACAAUGUGUAUGUACUACAAUGUGUAAAUCAACAAUAAGUUUGUUGCAAAGGAGAUUCAAAGUGGAUGGUUAAAGUGAUAUGGUCUCAUAAUUCAUCAACUGCCUGUUAUCUUGGAAUACUGAAGAACAGUUGUUUUAGAUUUUACCCUGCACGAGCAGCCCAACUUGAGUAGAUCAGGAGUGGGAAAACCGAGCCCUGUCCUUGACCAAGGAAAGUUGGAUUUGUUGAGAGGACCUGAUCUCAAAUGAGAUCAUUCACAAGACGCACCUCGCAAAGGCCAUGACAGUAUAGUUUUCAGACCUGAUCAGCUGGUGACUGCUCUAUGAAGUGCUGUUCAACCUCCCCUAAGGGGGAGAUUCGAGAGGGUCUCCUGAUUGCUGAACACUACGCCAUGGUUGUUGUCAUCUCCAAAAAGUUUGCCCUGCCCAUAUCAACAGUGGAAGAGAACAUGAGAUGGGCCUUGAGGAGGCUUCGUGUCAUGUACUGCGGGGAGAAUAUAUAAACUGUUUAGUGCUGAGCAAUAUGUUCCUUUGUUCAUAGGUGUAAAUAUGUGUAAAGGGCUAUUCCAGGAAAAGAUAGGAUGAAGGAUUCCUUAAUGUUGUCAUUUUAUAAAUCCGGUACCACCAACACAGUUAAAAACAAUUAUUAUUAAAUUUAUCCUCUGUAUCACCCCUCACUAACUGAAACUGUAUAUAAUCAUGGUUCAUACCCUUCCUCCCAUUUUUACCUGUGGUAGCCCAAAGAGGAGAAUGUUAUUUAUUUUAAUUUAUUAUGUUAAAUGUGCUCGCAUAUUGUGAUAAUGUAUCUUGGGUAGAUGUUUUCCUGGUUUUGUUAAAAAUGCACUGUAAAAAUGUUCACAUUAUUUGUUUUUUUUAAUAUAAACAUUGUUUUUUGCAAA